UCCUAACCCCUAAGAGAAUAAUACUUGGUAUUAUUUUAUGCCUAGCAUAGUAGCAUACCAUACCCAGAUUCAAGAAUCAAAGGGUUGAUCUUUAGCCAAGCAGUCACAAAUCUAUAACCUUUUAAAAAGUGGGAAUGAAAAUUACUGUAGCUUAUCUACAGUAAAUUAAACGCAUCGUUUCCCUUUCCCACGUUAUUUGCACUUCUCUGGUAUCCUGAGUCUUAACUCUCUUCCCUUGAAUAUCUCCUUGUUUUUUCCGCUAUGGCUGGGGAGUGGUGACAGUAACAGCCAGCAAGCACUCAUCUUGAAUUUCUCUCUCCUCCCCAACGACGAAUUUGUAAAAUCUUUCUUCUGGUAUAGGAGGCCUUGAAUUAUUCUUUUUGAUGAUGUGAGCACGCUUUCCCCAAUUGAGCUGCAAACGUUCCACAAGAUCUGCUAAGAGACGGGGAAAGGAAUCUAUCAGCUGCCAGAAUGUUAUGUGCUCAUGUCUUUGUUCUUGAGCUAGAGUUUAUAUCAUCAUUGAACAUAGUCAAGCAAAAGUUAUACCAAAAAGGUAGAAAUCCAAGCUGCUAAUUGCAAGGUAUUCAUAAAUGAGCAUUUUUUCCUCUCUUUCCCCGCAAAAUCCCAGCACCUUAACCAAGUUUACAUGCUGAAGUUUUGCAGUGAGCAUAACUUCAUUCUUGAACUGCUCAAAUCCUUACCUUGAAGCUUUUGAAAGUCUCUUUACUGCUAUUUGUCUUUAAUUUACCCUGGAGAAAUAGAUAUAUGUAUUUUUUAAGUGGUGAGGGAAAUGUACUUGGUAUUGGUUUUGAAGGAUACCUUAUAAACCGGUCCACCCUCUCCAAGCUUCUUGUAAAAUGAAAAAUUAGUUGUGGCUGCUGUAAUUUCUUUGAAACUGAAUACCUUCAUGUCAGGUGAAUCAUAACUGAAAUUUUGUGUGUC